UAGUAAGUCUUCGUAGCAAACUGAUAUUUUGAUUUGAAGUCAUCAAACUACCUUACAGAUAUGGUGUAAGACCGGGCAAACAUAGUUCUUAUAGAAGUUAGUGAUUAGGUAUAUCAUCAAGAUAUGCACGAAAGAUUAUAGUGAAUCAACAGAACAUCCAUCACUGAUAGGCCAUGAAUGAAUGACAACGCCCAUUUAAGUAUGUGUUUACAGUCAGAUCGAGUUGGUGUUUAAUCUGAUAUGGUUGAGACGUCAGUGAAUAUACAUGGAGGGUUUUUGAGUGAGAUGCUAAAUCUGGGUAUGGUCAGGUUCGGAUUAUUUGUAUGUCAGGGCCAUUAAUAUGAACCGUUUUUGCUUGCAUCCUCUCAGCUAGACUACAGUUGCUAGUUGCUACGAGGCCUGAGAAGUGAAGAUCUCCUCAGAGUUGAAGGCAAGUCUUUCAUAGCCAAUUUCAUUUAAUUAUGGAAGAUCAUAUUAAUUUAUUCGAUUCUAAUUUUCUAGUCGUUAGUUCUGCAAUAAAUUUUUCCGGGAAGUUUUCGAUUGAUUGCACUAAUAAUAGCUCAUUCUAAACAGAAAGUUAGGCAAAAAUUUAGCAAGUGUUUGGUGAAUUAUAGACAAUACUUUCAGACUGUUUUCAUAAUGAAUCUGGUUUAUUUUAUUCAUGAAAUUUCAAGAAUUCCAAUCAAGUAGGAAUCAUGGUUCGUGCACUUCUUUAUAUCGAAUUAAAUACAUACAAGAAUAAUUAUUUGUCAAAUUUUUAUAUUUGAAGAUUUUCAUGAUUAUCAUGGAUAUGUCAAUUCUGAUGUAACUAAGUGAAAUGCCUUUUAGGGCUACUUUUUAUAUAUGAAGUUUUUUCUUCCAUGUAAUUAGGGCUAAUUUUUCUAUGAAAAAGUUGAUCUUGCAUGUAUUUAGGGCUUGAGGUGAUGACUACCUAACUUUAUUCCAUCUGGUUUUAUGUUGUCAUAUAUGUUGAUUUCUUCUUGGGUGGUGUCCACUAAAAGUGACAGAUUAACAAAUUAUUGGAAGCUGAUGUUAGCCUUGAUUGGUUUAUGAGAGCACUAAUAGAUAGAUGCUCUCAAUUACUUUUAGGAAAAUGUUUGCACAUUCAGUUUGACAGUUGGUCAGAAGGGAGAGAUUAUGUUGUUAGAUCAAGGUUUUAUUGGAAUUUCUGAAUGUGCCUUUUCUUAAAUGGUGUAUAACUUUUGAACACCAGAUGGAGUCUUAAGAGUAUAAAAAUCUUAUUCUUUAUCUUUCGAGGUUCUUGAUAUCAUUUCUGUUUCCUCAUCCAUCAAAGUUUGGCACAUUUGGUGACUUAUAAUGUGAUUCAGCAGGAUGCUGUAGUAGCAAACCUGGAUUUAAAAAUUCUGUUUAAAUUUUCAAGUAUAAGUUGGAUUGAUCUUUCUUUAUUGGGAUAUAUUGGUUUUGGAAACAUUUGGAUGUGGGCAUUGGGCCUAUUAGAAUUGUCCCAAUUAAAUGACUUUAUGCAACUUGACCCAUGGAUGACCAGACAUUUCUGUGUUGUUUUAAUGGAUACCAAGAGAUGGUUAAGCUCCUUUCUUUAUCUUCUGCCACUAUUUGUCCACACUAAUCAAACUAUAGAUUUUUGCUAAAGACAUCAGAUUAUUUGAUACCAUAGGUGGAAUUAUGCUGGUAUUUUUCAAUGCUGACCACCCAGGCCAACAUGUAGUAAAACCAAUUAUCUAACGCAGAAGUGAUAUCUCUCUGUCAUUGACAAUUGAAUUAGUGGAAGUACAUCAUUUUCAAAAUCAGAACAAAAAAAAAAAAACCUGCGAUGUAUGAGAGACAUCCACGUGCAUUACUACGGUUGGUAGAUGAAGAAUCUUAGGUGGAAGAGGUCAACAUAAUGAUCAAGGAAAUAAACUUGCUUUUGGAUAAAUUAAAGGACAACCUCUGCGCGGCCAAAGAGAGAAUGAAAAAGGUGGCAGAUAAGGGUAAGAGAGAAGUGGAAUAUGAAGUGGGUGAUUAUGUAUUUCUCAAGAUUCAGUCUUAUUGUUUUCGAUCCAUAGUUUGCUGCCCAAACAAAAAGCUAUGACCACAUUUUUAUGGCUCUUAUGAGAUCUUGGAAUGAGUAGGGAUGGUUGUUUAUAGGUUGAAACUUCCGUUGACGGCUAAAAUUCAUCCCUAUUUUCACGUAUCACAGUUAAAGAACAGAAUUGACCCAAACGUUUCAAGUCAGCCACUGUCGGAUUUCCUAAAUGAAGAAAAUGAAUUGGUGGUACAACCAGAGGAAGUGUUAGACUAUGGAUAUUCACCCCAAGGGGAAUUAGAACUCCUCAAUAAAUGGCAACAGUUGUGAUAAUUCACGGGAGCUAAAUAGGAUUUUUAAACAACUCUUUCCUCAAUUUUACUAAGAGGACAAGGUGUCUGUGGAUGGGCAGGGUAAUGUUGGGCAGCAUGUUUACAUUUCUCACAAGAGAGGAAAACAAAUACAAAGGAGAGGAGGAAAUGACACAGGUGGUAGCAAACUGAGAAGCACAAAAUGAACUCAUACAGCAAAACAGAAACUGGACCACAGAGAUAUUGAGCUGAACGGUAGUGGUUAUGGAGUGAAUCAAGUAUAUUGGCUAGAGGAAGGGAGGAAUCAAGCAAGAAUUCUGGAACAAUAGAGGAAAGGAAGGAGAGAUCUGGCCUCUCGAAUGCCAUGCAAUAGAAUUGUUACUAAUUUACUGUUUUAUUGUAGUUAAUGGUGUUGAUGAGCUUAACAUGUUUGUAAUGAUCAUUGGAUGUUGGUUUUACUGAUUGUUGGAUAUUAACACAAAAGAAAUGGUUAAUUUGAUUCUAUCUAUUGAGUAGCGUUGCAGUAGAAGGGCAGUUGUGUAUGCUUGUAUAUUGAGUUGUCACAGGAAGCUGUCAAGUGAAGUUUUGUUGGCAAAACCAUCGGAACAAGAAGUGAUUUUCAGAGGGAGGAGCAGGAAUUUGGAGUACUGAAGCAAUGAAAAAUGGCCUUAAAAUUUUUGACAUAUACAUCUCAGAUUUUUCUGGGUCCAAGUUUUUGCAGAGUUGCGACCUUCUGAGUUUAAUCUUGAACUUGAAGAACAGAAGUUGGGUGUUGGGUGAGGGUGGGGGACCUCAACUAGCUUGUCAGUAAGAAAUUCUCUCUGCGAAGAAGUUCAUAUUCAAUAAUUCUUUAUGCAAGUUCCACCUCUCCAAUAAGAAUCAACCCACAUGCCUACCUUGUCCAGAAAUAUAUAUCUGUACUAAUCUUGCAGGAAGGAUCCUUUCCCAUUUUGCCCUUUUUCAGUUUGAACUCUCCGUUAGAGCUCCCAUUGUAGACUACUUGCUUGUUUAUAUAUGCUUAUAAAAGGUGGGUCCUCAUAAAGUGUAGAAUUAACAAUGAAGUAUCCAUUUUUCCCUCAAGGGGUAAGGCGAAAGAGAGAGAUUUCAAACAUGAAAGCAAUCAUUCAAAUCUCUUCUAACAAUAUUUUAAAAUUAAACUUUCGACUUAUUUGGUAUAGUGAUUAUGAGAUCGGUCAUUAGACUUGAGGUUUCAUCUGUUUGAUAUGAUCGAUUCAAUCUCAAAGAGAUGGUCCGACUCAAGUAAGGUUUUUUUGUUACCCAAAAAAAAAAACGAUCCUAUCAAGCCAUUUUGCUCCUCUUUCAUGAAAAAAACAGUGCUUUCUUACAAAUACCCAGUGAGCACAACUAAGCCUCUUGUAAUUGUAUCCAAUACUAAUUUCCUUAUUGUAUAUUUAUUUGAAUGAUUGAUUUGUACCAUUUUAAAUAAUAUUGUGUACACUAGCUGGAGGGGAAUUAAAAUAAGGUUAAAUUUGCACCAAA